AACCACUACCCCCAAGAGCCUCUUUUGCCUUUAGCUGAAGACGGUGUUUCAGGUGAGGGCUUCAGCCAUUUUGCUGUCACCUCUCCCGCCCCUGAUGAGGGAAGCCGAGACGAAGGGAGCCGUGCAGGUGUUCAUUCAGGGUGAAGCAGAAACCCCAAUAAAGGCCAUGGUCUAAGUUCUCCCCUGCUUCCUGUCUUCUGCCUCCUGACUCCCCUGGUGUUUCUCCAAGUGGCACUGGGUGCUGUGCUAUGUCUCCUGUUUCUAGGACCUGCAGCAUCUCCUGGGCAGUGAUGCUUCAUAGAUCGGCAACAUGUGGUUUCCAAGUUGGCUGUCCUUGCUGGAAGAGUUAACAUAGCAGCUUCUUCAACUUUCCUCUACUUUCUGCUCUUGGAGGCAACACUGGAGCCUCGGUCACUGUGUUUCUUGUAAUCUUGGGCAAGUCGCUUCACUUUGUCCAAUAGUAAAAUGAUGAGAUUGGACUAGAGGAAAUCACAGAUCUCAACCAGCUUUGACAAAUCUCCAGUCCAAGGACCAGGAUGUGCCAGCCUUUCAGCCACACUCCUUAAUGCGAUACCUAUGAAGAAUCUAGGAGCGUUUUCCAUUGCCAGGGUCUGAAAUCAGAAGACCUGGCUGACACCGACCUUUGAGUUGAUCCUGCUUGACAUUUUAAACCGAUUGGCCUGGAAUUUCCUGAUCUACACUAAUGAGGACCUGCUACGUGACACAAGUAGGAGGAAGCGGAGAGUGACAGUAACUGACACCCGAAACUCCAGGAAGAGGGCAGGUGUAAGAGCCCCUAGAGAUCCAGACACCCCAGUAAGAAGUAAGAGGACACGUGUAGCUCUACAGCCAAAACGGAGUCAUAUUUCUUGCUCUCAGAAACUGUUUCUAUGGAAACUCACUAGA